UUUAUACUCUCUCCGUUCAGAAAUACUUGUCGCAGAAAUGCAUAAAAAUGAAUGUAUAUAGAACUAAAAUACAUACAUUCCUUUGACAAGUAUUUCUGAACGGAGGAAGUAUAUA
rfam:Triticum aestivum genome assembly, contig: Triticum_aestivum_CS42_TGACv1_scaffold_001252_1AL